UUUGCCAUGUUCUGUUUCGAAAUUCGUCUCCAAAAAGAUACAGGAAAAAAAUCAGAAAGUAAGAACACUGCAACUGGAAAGGAAGAUGAGCUAGUUCCAAGGACGCGGUGAGCUUUGUUUUUUUAUUACGCCUAACUAUUAAGAACAAGAAUGAAGUAAAAAAUAAGAAGACAAGCGUUCUUCAGCCUGAGCUCCAGAUUUUUAUAGACAGCUGC
rnacentral:ribozyme from 1 species